rnacentral:rRNA from 1 species
UACGAAGGGUGCAAGCGUUGCUCGGAAUUAUUGGGCGUAAAGGGUAGGUAGGUGGUGAUAUUUGUCUGGGGUGAAAUCCCUGAGCUUAACUCAGGAAGUGCCUUGGAAGCGGUAUCACUCGAGUACUGGAGAGGUUCGCAGAAUUCUUGGUGUAGCGGUGAAAUGCGUAGAGAUCAAGAGGAAUACCAGAGGCGAAGGCGGCGAACUGGACAGUUACUGACACUCAACUACGAAAGCGUGGGGAGCAAACAGG